UACGAGGGGGGCAAGCGUUGUUCGGAAUUACUGGGCGUAAAGGGCUCGUAGGCGGCCAACUAAGUCAGACGUGAAAUCCCUCGGCUUAACCGGGGAACUGCGUCUGAUACUGGAUGGCUUGAGGUUGGGAGAGGGAUGCGGAAUUCCAGGUGUAGCGGUGAAAUGCGUAGAUAUCUGGAGGAACACCGGUGGCGAAGGCGGCAUCCUGGACCAAUUCUGACGCUGAGGAGCGAAAGCCAGGGGAGCAAACGGG
rnacentral:rRNA from 1 species